rnacentral:rRNA from 1 species
AGAGUUUGAUCCUGGCUCAGGAUGAACGCUAGCUACAGGCUUAACACAUGCAAGUCGAGGGGAAACGAUAUUGGAAGCUUGCUUCCGAUAGGCGUCGACCGGCGCACGGGUGAGUAACGCGUAUCCAACCUGCCCAUCACUUGGGGAUAACCUUGCGAAAGUAAGACUAAUACCCAAUGACGUCUCUAGAAGACAUCUGAAGGAGAUUAGAGAUUUAUCGGUGAUGGAUGGGGAUGCGUCAGAUUAGCUUGUUGGCGGGGUAACGGCCCACCAAAGCUACGAUCAGUAGGGGUUCUGAGAGGAAGGUCCCCCACAUUGGAACUGAGACACGGACCAAACUCCUACGGGAGGCAGCAGUGAGGAAUAUUGGUCAAUGGACGAGAGUCUGAACCAGCCAAGUAGUGUGCAGGAUGACGGCCCUAUGGGUUGUAAACUGCUUUUAUAAGGGAAUAAAGUGAGCCUCGUGAGGCUUUUUGCAUGUACCUUAUGAAUAAGGACCGGCUAAUUCCGUGCCAGCAGCCGCGGUAAUACGGAAGGUCCGGGCGUUAUCCGGAUUUAUUGGGUUUAAAGGGAGCGUAGGCCGGAGAUUAAGCGUGUUGUGAAAUGUAGACGCUCAACGUCUGCACUGCAGCGCGAACUGGUUUCCUUGAGUACGCACAAAGUGGGCGGAAUUCGUGGUGUAGCGGUGAAAUGCUUAGAUAUCACGAAGAACUCCGAUUGCGAAGGCAGCUCACUGGAGCGCAACUGACGCUGAAGCUCGAAAGUGCGGGUAUCGAACAGGAUUAGAUACCCUGGUAGUCCGCACGGUAAACGAUGGAUGCCCGCUGUUGGUCUGAAUAGGUCAGCGGCCAAGCGAAAGCAUUAAGCAUCCCACCUGGGGAGUACGCCGGCAACGGUGAAACUCAAAGGAAUUGACGGGGGCCCGCACAAGCGGAGGAACAUGUGGUUUAAUUCGAUGAUACGCGAGGAACCUUACCCGGGCUUGAAUUGCAGAGGAAGGAUUUGGAGACAAUGACGCCCUUCGGGGCCUCUGUGAAGGUGCUGCAUGGUUGUCGUCAGCUCGUGCCGUGAGGUGUCGGCUUAAGUGCCAUAACGAGCGCAACCCCUCUCCUUAGUUGCCAUCAGGUUAAGCUGGGCACUCUGGGGACACUGCCACCGUAAGGUGUGAGGAAGGUGGGGAUGACGUCAAAUCAGCACGGCCCUUACGUCCGGGGCUACACACGUGUUACAAUGGCAGGUAC